UGAGGAAUAUUGGUCAAUGGGCGGGAGCCUGAACCAGCCAAGUCGCGUGAAGGAAGAAGGAUCUAUGGUUCGUAAACUUCUUUUGCAGGGGAAUAAAGUGCAGGACGUGUCCUGUUUUGUAUGUACCCUGAGAAUAAGGAUUGGCUAACUCCGUGCCAGCAGCCGCGGUAAUACGGAGGAUCCGAGCGUUAUCCGGAUUUAUUGGGUUUAAAGGGUGCGUAGGUGGUUUGAUAAGUCAGCGGUGAAAGUUUGCAGCUUAACUGUAAAAAUGCCGUUGAAACUGUCGGACUUGAGUGUAAAUGAGGUAGGCGGAAUGCGUGGUGUAGCGGUGAAAUGCAUAGAUAUCACGCAGAACUCCGAUUGCGAAGGCAGCUUACUAAGCUACAACUGACACUGAAGCACGAAAGCGUGGGGAUCAAACA
rnacentral:rRNA from 1 species